rnacentral:rRNA from 1 species
UAACGAAUAUUGGGCAAUGGGCGAAAGCCUGACCCAGCAAUGCCGCGUGCAGGACGAAGUCCUUCGGGAUGUAAACUGCUGUCAGGGGUCCGCAAGCGAAGGGGUCCAACAGGCCCUGGAGUUGAGCAGCCCCAGAGGAAGCCUCGACUAACUCUGUGCCAGCAGUCGCGGUACGACAGAGGAGGCAAGCGUUGUUCGGAAUCACUGGGCUUAAAGCGCGUGUAGGCGGCUUAGAAAGUGUCGUGUGAAAUCCCGCGGCUCAACCGCGGAACUGCACGGCAAACUGCCUAGCUUGUGGUCGGUAGAGGUGCCUGGAACUCUAGGUGGAGCGGUGAAAUGCGUAGAUAUCCGGAGGAACGCCAGAAGCGGAAGCGGGGCACUGGGCCGAUUCUGACGCUGAGACACGAAAGCGUGGGGAGCAAACA